UGGCCUACGGGGCGCAGCAGUGGGGAAUAUUGGGCAAUGGGCGCAAGCCUGACCCAGCAACGCCGCGUGAAGGAAGAAGGCUUUCGGGUUGUAAACUUCUUUUAUCAGGGACGAAGCAAGUGACGGUACCUGAUGAAUAAGCCACGGCUAACUACGUGCCAGCAGCCGCGGUAAUACGUAGGUGGCAAGCGUUAUCCGGAUUUACUGGGUGUAAAGGGCGUGUAGGCGGGAGUGCAAGUCAGAUGUGAAAACUAUGGGCUCAACCCAUAGCCUGCAUUUGAAACUGUACUUCUU
rnacentral:rRNA from 1 species